UCGUCAGCUCGUGCCGUGAGGUGUCAGGUUAAGUCCUAUAACGAGCGCAACCCCUGUGGUUAGUUGCCAGCACGUAAUGGUGGGAACUCUAGCCAGACUGCCGGUGCAAACCGUGAGGAAGGUGGGGAUGACGUCAAAUCAUCAUGCCCCUUAUGUCUUGGGCUUCACGCAUGCUACAAUGGCUGGUACAGAGAGUGGCGA
rnacentral:rRNA from 1 species